GGCCCCAUCGUCUAGUCGGGUCCAGGACAUCGGCCUUUCACGCCGACGACGCGGGUUCAAAUCCCGCUGGGGUCACCG
rnacentral:tRNA from 1 species